rnacentral:lncRNA from 1 species
AAAGUGCUGGGAUUACAGGUGUGAGCCACCAUGCCCAGCUAAUUUUUUUAUUUUUAGUAGAGACGGGAUUUCACCUUGUUGGUCAGGCUGGUAUGUGCCCAACUUUUAUACCAUUGGCAGCACAGUUGGCCUGUUUACCACAUCACCACACGCAUGUGAGUUGUGCAUUGCACUGUGAUGUUACAAGGCCUAUGACAGCACCAGGUCGAAGACAUUUUCCAGCAGCAUAAUCUUAUGCGACCAUCAUGGUCCGUGCAGCCCAUUGUUUGGAAUGUCAUGCAGCACAUGACUACACGCACACAUACAGAAUAUUGAUUCUGCUUCUCGAAGAACCCUAAUGCAUUUUCCACACUGGCAGAUUGUCUGUCUUCUAAGCUACAGCAGCAACCAAAUAUCAUGAAUGCUUUUUGGGUUCCUAACUCUAGUUGGGAGUCCCAAGUGACUUACUGUGGUUAAGCCCCCAGAAUGAGUUGUCAAGGUUCAGGCUCUGUUGAUGAUGAGGAAGAAGAACCAGGACCACCUACCAGUUACCUCUAUUUGACAGUCACUUGGCUCAGUUCUUUGGCUUGGGGGUGUGUGUGUGUGUGUUUGAGACAGUCUUGAUCUGUUGCCCAGGCUGGAGUGCAGUGGUGUGAUCUUGGCUCACUGCAACCUCCGCCUCCCAGGUUCAAGCGAUUCUCCUGCCUCAGCCUCCCGAGUAGCUGUGAUUACAGGUGCAUGCCACCACGCCCGGCUAACUUUUGUAUUUUUAGUAAAGACAGCAUUUUGCUGUGUUGGCCAGGCUGGUCUUGAACUCCUGACCUCAGGUGAUCUGCCCGCCUUGACCUCUCAAAGUGCUGGGAUUACAGGCGUGAGCCACCGCACCUGGCCUUUGCUCAGUUCUUUGCGUAAGUUAUCUCCUUCAAUCUUCAAAGUAAAUAUGCGAGAUAAACAUCAUUUACCAUCUUUAAAGGACGAAAAAGCUGGAGCUCAGAAAGGUUGGUCUCUUGAACAGGAUGGUAAGACUCGUACGUUGCUGACCAGGACCCUAAAGUUUUUCCCCUACCACCACCAUAUACUCUUCAUGAGCCAUCCUUUCCCAAAUAACCUAAACACACACACACAUAAGGAAACAGCACUUGCUAUACAAGCAAGUCCAGCUUCAAGACAAGCCCCAGGCUCCGCUCACCAUGCAGAAUGCUGGGCCUAAGCUCCUCCUGUGUGGAAUGCUGAAGAAAUCACCACCCUUGAUGCAAAACGAGGCCUGUCUCAAAUCAGCUUGUGGUGACUGAGGCAAAGGUGGGAAUGGGGAGUGACUGUCUAAUGGAUACAAGGUCUCCUUUUUGGAUGACAAAAAUGUUUUGGAACUAGACAGAAAUGAUGGUUCUACAACACUGUAAAUGUACCAAAUGCUAACUGAAUUGUGCACUUUAAAAUGGGUUCAUUUUGUUAUGUGACUUUUACCAGAUGAACAAAAACACUGUCUAUCUAACACAGAUCCAUGCCUUUACAUGGUAUGUUAUAUAAUAACACUUUACCGUCCUUUAUCCAGGACCACGACUUCAUUUCACAGACACUGCAGUUCUCAAGAAUCCAGGUGGUGGCAGCAGAGAGCUGAGAGAAACCAGCACUUCCCUACCGGCCCUAAGGAAGGUCCGGAAUAAGAAUAUUGACCUUGCCCAGUUGCAGUGAGCAUUUCUGUAUUGCACCAGUCACAGUGGCGAAUGCAGCUAAGGAGAGGCAGGUAGAUGGAGCCACAGAACCAGAUGUGGUCUGGGCAGUGUUUCAUCCCACCAGGAAUGACAGUGCAUCUGCAGCUCCCAGAGGGCUCUCUGACACCCUACCUCCAACUGUGAGCAAUCAUCUUUACCUCCUCAUCCAGAGGAAGGAGGCCAGCGGGAUGCAGAGCCUCAGCAGCUUCAGCCCAGGCUCAGGGCUGAAGUGGAGAAGCAUCCAGGCCAGUUCUGGCAUUGGUGGAACCAGCUGGGCCGGGGGUUGCCCCAGGUAAAAGGAACAGGACCCAUCACUGAGACCACAGGACAGAGAACACUGAGAAUAUAGACUCAGACACAAAAUAGGACUUACUUUCCGGCUCCCUGAAAGCUGGGCAUGGCCAUGUGCCUUGCUGUGGGGGAUGAACCCAGAGCAGAAGAAGUGUGUGUCGCUUCUGGCUGGAGACUUCAAGAGCAGUACACGAUUUGCCAAGUCUCUCUGCCUGGCCACGGCAAAUGGUGAGUCCCAGAGAGUUGACAACGUGGAGCAGAGCUCCCCGCAACCCAUGGCAGGCACGGAACACAAACAAGAUAAAAUGUUGAGUGUUGUGAGCCCCUGACAUGGGGGCUGUUUGCUUGCAGCAUAACCGGUCCUAUCCUGACACACGCUUGGGGUUGGGGGUCACAAACUCAAAUGCCAGGCAGGCGAUGUGAGGGACCACGUGGGAAAGAGUGGGUGAGGACUUGUUCAAACACAGGUGACAGGCUGGGUGUAGCGGCUCACGCCUGUGAUCCCAGCCCUUUGGGAGGCCGAGGCGGGCAGAUCACCUGAGGUCAGAAGUUCGAGACCAGCCUGGCCAACAUGGCGAAACCUCAUCUCUACUAAAAAUACAAAAAUUAGGCCAGAUGCAGUGGCUCACACCUG